UGCAUUGAAGCUGAAUGGUGCAGCGUAACCCUAACAAGGUUAAGUGCCCGGGUUCAAUUCCCGGCUUUGCAA
rnacentral:tRNA from 1 species